rnacentral:rRNA from 1 species
GUCUACGGCCAUGCCACCCUGAACGUGCCCAAUCUCAUCUGAUCUCGGAAGCUAAGCAGGGUCGGGCCUGGUUAGUACUUGGAUGGGAGACCACCUGGGAAGACCAGGUGCUGUAGGCG